rnacentral:lncRNA from 1 species
AUGAGGUCGUCCCCCUCGUCAAAUGGCAAUUCUUCUUUCUUUCGGACGGGGGUGUCCCCGGGAGUCAGGGGGAUGGAGGGGCCUAGAAGACAGAGCCCAGGGCCCAGUGCCCUCAGCUGUGACUGGAACGGACGGCAGGGGGUGGUUUCUGCAUGCAGGAGGGGCAGCAGCACCGUGGCUGACCCCCUCGGCCCACGUCCCACCACCCGACCCCAGACCCACGGCCCCUGCCCCGGGAGCAAGCCCGCUGCCCCCACCUUGCCCUCUGUGGGUGCCGGGGCUCUUGCCGGAAGCUGCUUUACUCUCUGUCCUGGGGGCCUUCUUGGCGACCUCCUCCUCGUCGUUGGAGAGAAGUCCUGCCAUCGGGUCUUCCGAGUCUCCGGUCAGAAGGAAGGAGAGGUUGGACUGCAGCGCGUGGCUCCGUGGGGCCAGGCAUCGCCCGAGUCAUCCCAUAAAGAAGCCACCUGGCGUCUGCAGGGUGGGCCCACGGAAGUGGACUGGCGGGGGGGGGGGGGGGGGGGGGGGGACCCCCCCAGCUGCUCGGCUGCCCCAGCUCAGCCACGGCCUCCUGACUGCUGGCGGCGUGGCCUUCUGGAGGUGGCCUUUCCCGCGCUUUAUGAGACGUCCGGCUCAACGCCUGGCUUCAGAGUCCUCGUCCUAAAUCCCAAACACCUUGGCCAGCACAAGGUAACCAGCACUCCCAGCAUCCACGGAGCUACACCCGGGCACCAGCUCUCUGCUUCCCCUCUGCUACACAGGGCGAGGAGGCCCCGGGAAGCAGCGAGCAUUACCCAGGCUGCUUCUCUCUCUAAAGCAGUGUCCCGCAGCUCCACAGGGGCUCCGGUACCUUCCGAGGGAAACCUCCCGUGCUGGUGUCCAAAGCUGCUGGGAGCUGGCCUCCUGGUGGGAGCGGUGUCCCCUGCAGGAAGAACGAGAAGGCACACUUGUGGGCUGGGGCUCUCGGGACCCACACCACCGCUGGGGCCCUGGGAUGGCGUGCACUGCGUCUUGGGCAGCUCAUGGCCACAGACACAGUGUGGGAGGGUCUACACCUCCCCAGUUCUCACGGGGCCCCUGGCAGGGAAGUGUGUGUGUGAGGAGCCACCUCCUGCCCCUCACCCCGCAUCACUGCAGACGGGGUUGGCAGGCUACCAAAAACUUUACUAUUUUAGCUCAGAAAGCUUUUCCAGGGGUGGCCCAUGCUAG